UUAUAGGCAACUAGUCAUAAUGUUCCACUCUAUGAACACAUGUUAAUGAUCAGUAGUAUACAUACUGUAUAUGGUUCUUUAAUUUUUGCAUUGUACUAAGGUACAUUCAUUUUCAAUGGGCAUAUGUGCCCAUUUUUCAACAUUAACAUUUUAAUAUAACAUAGUCAUUAUGGCUUUUAGAAGAAUGGGGUUUUUGGGGAGGUGGGCUAGUGCACUAUAGACCCCUGUGGUGUGACCUAAGCUUUUGUCCUUAAUGGCUUUUUUUUUUUUUUUUUUUUUUUUCCCGUCGUGGCGCAAGCACCUGCAGGGUGUUCAGGAUGGAGGGGCAGAAAAAAAAGCUCUCCGGGGCACAAAACAGAAAACGGAAGAAGGAGAGAGAAAAAGAUGUUGUAGGGAUGAAGAAAAGCUUCUCAAAGUGGUUGAAAGACAGCAGGUCUAAUUGAUUUCGGAGCUGAAGGGAACUUCAAGCUGGUGGAGGAACUUAAGGUUCCAGUGGAGCCCCAGAAGAAAAUGUUAAGUCGUCGUGCUAGAUGGGGAGCCAGUAGAGGCAGAUUAACACAACAGACUGAACUGGUUAAGCUUAGCACUCAUGCCCUUCAUCAAGUACUUAUUUCCUUUUUUAUACUUAGUUCUUCAGUAUUUUCUGUAAUCCUCGGAUUGCCGUGAAACAUAACACGCAAAUUUCUCAGGCAGAACAUGAACUACUGUCAUGGUCAGACUUUUGUCACCAGAAUUGCAUCACUCUCCCUACCAUUUCAUUUAGAUCUUCUUCCACAGAGAGCCCUAAUUCAUAGGCACUCCCUGACUUUCCAGCUGAAUAUACAGACUUUCUAGAAGUCUUCAGUAAGGGCAAUGCAGUUAAAUUACCUCCUCACCCUCCGUAUGACUGUGCAAAUGAGAGCUCCACCCCACCUAAAUUUAGAGUUUAUCCAUUAAUCAGAAAGAGGAGAGAGCCAUGGACACAUACAUACAAGAAGCAUUGGAACAGGGCUUCAUAAAACCAUCAACUUCUAUUGUGGUUUCUAGUUUAUUUUUCACUGAAAGGAAAGACAGAGGCCUUCAUCCUUGUAUAGAUUAUCAUGGCCCUAAUCAGAUCACCAAGAAAUAACUGUAUUCUCUUCUUCUCAAUACAGUAGCUCUUGAACAACUCAGAAGAGCCCAAUAUUUCACAAAAUUAGACCCCCACGGUGUUUACAGUUUAGUGAGAAUCAGAGAAGGUGACAAAUGAAAAACAGCAUUCAUCACCACUAGGGGGUACCAUGAAAAUUUAGCAAUGCUGUUCAGCCUUUCUAAUGCUCUGUCUACCUUUAAGGCCCUUAUCAGUGACAUUUUACACAGUAUGGUAGGCAAAUUUGUGAUCACCUAUAUGGACGAUAUCCUCAUUUACUCAUCUAACCUUGAAUCUCAUGUCAGUCAUGUCCAUUGUGUCCUAUGGCGUCUUCUGGAAAGCAGUCUGUUUGCCAGGGGUGGAAAUAGUGAAUUUCAUUGACAGUAUGUGGCCUUUCUUGGGUAUGUCAUUAGGUUGAAUGGGGGUUCGAUGGAUGACAAUAAGAGAAUUCCCUUGGACCUCACAUGACUGCUGCUCUCUCAUCCACAGCCAAUUGAUGUUCCCCAAAUACUAAUACUGUCAUACCUGUUCUGUUUGUCACAUGAUUUAGAGUAGUUAGUACAUAAGCACUGGCUUUUAGGUUAGAACUUAUUUUUUUCCCAUGAGCUUGCAGGCAUUUUCUAUUGUCUUUUGCCUUUUGUGUAUUUGGGCUGUGUUUUUGUGUAUUUGGGACUUUGAUUUUUGUCUCUGCCCUUUUUUAUCUUGUUUGCCUGUUUCUGUGAUGUUUGUCUUUUUGCCUUUAUGGAUUGUUUUGGAUUUGACCUAUGCCUGUUUUCUGACAACAAGCUUGGAUCAUGUUUCAAACAGUAAAGCCUCUUUUUUUAACCACA